rnacentral:ncRNA from 1 species
ACUGAAUGGAUCAGCGGGUGUCCACCCUGCGUCGACAGGUGCGGGUAACCCGCUGAACCCCUUUCAUGAUAAGGAUCGGGGAUUGCAAUUAUUUCCUAUGAAC